GACGAACGCUGGCGGCGUGCUUAACACAUGCAAGUCGAACGAAAAGCGAUGGAAGCUUGCUUCUAUCAAUCUUAGUGGCGAACGGGUGAGUAACGCGUAAUCAACCUGCCCUUCAGAGGGGGACAACAGUUGGAAACGACUGCUAAUACCGCAUACGAUCUAAUCUCGGCAUCGAGGAUAGAUGAAAGGUGGCCUCUACAUGUAAGCUAUCACUGAAGGAGGGGAUUGCGUAUGAUUAGCUAGUAGGAGGGGUAACGGCCCACCAAGGCGAUGAUCAGUAGUCGGUCAGUGCGGAUGGACGGCCACAUUGAAUCUGUGACACUGCCCAGACUUCUACGGGAGGCAGCAGUGGGGAGUCUUCCGCAAUGGAUGCUAGUCUGACGGGGCAACGCCGCCUGCGUGAUUACGGCCGUCGUGUUGUAAAGCUCUGUUAAUCGGGACGAAAGGCCUUCUUGCGAAUAGUGAGAAGGAUUGACGGUACCGGAAUAGAAAGCCACGGCUAAGUACGUG
rnacentral:rRNA from 1 species